AGUAGUAAUAUACCGGUUCUCGUUAGAUCACCGAAGUCAAGCAUCAUUGGGCGUGAUCACUACUUGGGUGGGUGACCACCUGGGAACACCGCGUGCCGUU
rnacentral:rRNA from 1 species